rnacentral:rRNA from 1 species
GAUGAACGCUGGCGGCGUGCCUAAUACAUGCAAGUCGAGCGAACAGAUGAGGAGCUUGCUCCUCUGACGUUAGCGGCGGACGGGUGAGUAACACGUGGAUAACCUACCUAUAAGACUGGGAUAACUUCGGGAAACCGGAGCUAAUACCGGAUAAUAUAUUGAACCGCAUGGUUCAAUAGUGAAAGACGGUUUUGCUGUCACUUAUAGAUGGAUCCGCGCCGCAUUAGCUAGUUGGUAAGGUAACGGCUUACCAAGGCAACGAUGCGUAGCCGACCUGAGAGGGUGAUCGGCCACACUGGAACUGAGACACGGUCCAGACUCCUGCGGGAGGCAGCAGUAGGGAAUCUUCCGCAAUGGGCGAAAGCCUGACGGAGCAACGCCGCGUGAGUGAUGAAGGUCUUCGGAUCGUAAAACUCUGUUAUUAGGGAAGAGCAAAUGUGUAAGUAACUAUGCACGUCUUGACGGUACCUAAUCAGAAAGCCACGGCUAACUACGUG